rnacentral:lncRNA from 1 species
UGGUGAGUUCUAGAAGGGCAAGUACAUUUUCUGGUUUCUCUUCAAGUUAGCCUUCUCUCUUCAAUUCUCUUCAACCUUGCUUCUUUUACGCUUCUUCUUAUGGAUCUAUAGUAAACAAUUCUCCGUAGUCCAGGCUUGAGUUACAACACAAGAAUCAAAAAAUAAAACUGCAUAAGAAAUCAAGAAAUCAUCCAGUUUCGCAAACCCUAGAACGACUUCCACAAAUGGGUUUUCUUCAAAUCGUAUAGAGGGCUUUGAAGUUGCAGCGAUUUACAGAGGUAGGAGGUUUAGGGUUCUUCAGAUGAAAUUGCAUGUUCAAGGAGAUGGCCGGUGGCUACACUGGUGCUGUGUUUAUUAACAUUUCAUGAACAAACUCCGACAAGAAAGCAUAGCACUUAAGCAUAACCAAGACAUGUAAAGAGACAGCAACAACCUUUUAGCAAACUUCAAAGCCUAUGCCUGAAGUGGAUAAAAGUAAGACUAACAAACGGUUUUUGCUAAAGUACAAGAAUACAAGUCCUAAGGUACAGUAAUAAUAGGACUUGCCUCCUACGGGGAAAACUAGACAAGAAGGCCUUUUGUAACAACUUUAAUGCCAACUAACGAUUGUAAUAUAACCCCAUUUUGUACCUAUUAGGUGGAAAACAAGAUAACAAGAUGGCCUUUUGUUACAACUUUAAUGCCGACUAAUGAAUGUAAUAUAACCUCAGUUUGUAGUUGUCUCACUAAAAAUCAUAUAAACACCGUAAAAAACCAUAAUUCCGCCGGGCU